GACUCCCAGUGAUAAACUGGAGGAAGGGGGGGAUGACGUCAAGUCAUCAUGGCCCUUACGAGUAGGGCUACACACGUGCUACAAUGGCGCAUACAAAGAGAAGCGACCUCGCGAGAGCAAGCGGACCUCAUAAAGUGCGUCGUAGUCCGGAUUGGAGUCUGCAACUCGACUCCAUGAAGUCGGAAUCGCUAGUAAUCGUAGAUCAGAAUGCUACGGUGAAUACGUUCCCGGGCCUUGUACACACCGCCCGUCACACCAUGGGAGUGGGUUGCAAAAGAAGUAGGUAGCUUAACCUUCGGGAGG
rnacentral:rRNA from 1 species